GAUGAACGCUAGCUACAGGCUUAACACAUGCAAGUCGAGGGGUAACGAGAGGGAAGCUUGCUUUCCUUGUCGACGACCGGCGCACGGGUGAGUAACGCGUAUCCAACCUGCCCCCAACUAGGGAAUAACCUUGCGAAAGUAAGACUAAUACCCUAUAAUUUCCUCAGAUGUCAUCUGACGAGGAAUAGAGAUUUAUCGGUUGUGGAUGGGGAUGCGUCUGAUUAGCUUGUUGGCGGGGUAACGGCCCACCAAGGCAACGAUCAGUAGGGGUUCUGAGAGGAAGGUCCCCCACAUUGGAACUGAGACACGGUCCAAAAUCCUACGGGAGGCAGCAGUGAGGAAUAUUGGUCAAUGGGCGGAAGCCUGAACCAGCCAAGUAGCGUGCAGGAUGACGGCCCUAUGGGUUGUAAACUGCUUUUAUACAGGAAUAAAGUUAGCCACGUGUGGUUAUUUGUAGGUACUGUAUGAAUAAGGACCGGCUAAUUCCGUGCCAGCCGCCGCCGUAA
rnacentral:rRNA from 1 species